UACGGGGGGAGCAAGCGUUGUUCGGAUUUACUGGGCGUAAAGGGCGGGUAGGCGGCCACCGCAAGUCAGUUGUGAAAUCUCUGGGCUUAACCCAGAAAGGUCAACUGAUACUGCGGGGCUAGAGUGCAGAAGGGGCAACUGGAAUUCUCGGUGUAGCGGUGAAAUGCGUAGAUAUCGAGAGGAACACCUGCGGCGAAGGCGGGUUGCUGGGCUGACACUGACGCUGAGGCGCGAAAGCCAGGGGAGCGAACGGG
rnacentral:rRNA from 1 species